CCCGGCUGGCUUGCUUAAGCAAGCUAAGUGUUAUUGCUCCGUUCACAAGAAUAUUUUGUUGUAAAUAAGAGUUUCUCGUCAGAUUUCGAUCUUAAAAGGUCUCUGUGAACGAUUCUGUGGGUUAUACAGUAACCGUGAAGUUGCUCGCAAAAGUGCCAAUUUUUGGUUUUUGAGAAAAUAUAUUUGUAUUAUACUAUUUUAUAGCAGUGAGCCCUGUGGUUUGUUUUGGUGAGCCAGCCCGCCUCAAAAGUCUCAUGUGUAAACACAGUCUCAACAAAGCGAACUACUUCGGUUAACUGGGGGGAACCCAAGCUAGCUUCCUUCAUAUAAACAGCCCUGUAGAUGCAAACGACUAUUUCCGUCAAUUUUAAAAUUUCACCCUAUACCCUUGCAGUCUAUUUGGAAAUCUUCUUGGGGCUAUCAGCCCAACACUUGAGGCAGUGGCUGACACUGAGUCUAAUAAAACAAAAUAAAAUAAAAUAAAAAGUACAUAUAUAAGUCCACUGAAGGCAUUGAAUUCUACCGUCGUGAUGCUGAGGACAUGCACUCGACCAUAUUUUAAAUCUACGGUUGAUACUUUUUCCCGAUGGUUUAAUACAUUUCUUCAUUUUAAAAUUUGCGAGUCCGGCAUUAACGUUUUCCGUAAAAACCCGAUCAAGAUUCGAAGAAUAUUUACGUAUUAGCAUGCAUCUUUAUGAGCGAUUUUCUUCUAGCAACAGGAAAGCCUUUCCAGGGCAUGCAGGAGUAAUUUUCGAAAUCUAUUUCUUGAAUAAAGUGGUGUUGGUGCAUAUUUUUGGAGGUCCGAUGGAAAAGUACGUUAAUUUGUGCAGUCUUGCGUUCCCAGGGUUCGAAACUCGUAUAGUGUGUGCACUGCCACUGGGCCUGUAAAGGUAUCUUGAACAAAACAACCUGAUGAUAUCGUCUACCCAAAAUUUAGUUCAGGCUACGCUAUCUAGGCAAGAUAAUUACAACAGAACCCAGCCUAGUCCCAGGCUCUCUCUAUUCGCUGCUUUGAUAUAUUUAAAUAAGUCUUAAAAGUUUUAUGCCUGGGUGUGCUGUGCGGAACGCU